rnacentral:rRNA from 1 species
AUGCUUGUCUUAAAGAUUAAACCCUGCAUGUUUAAGUAUAAGCAACUUUGUACUGUGAAACUGCGAAUGGCUCAUUAAAUCAGUUAUAGUUUAUUUGAUGGUUUUUGGUACAUGGAUAACUGUGGUAAUUCUAGAGGUAAUACAUGCAUUCAAGCCCCGAAUUUUGGAAGGGGUGUAUUUAUUAGAUAAAAAUCAACUUUGUUGGUGAAUCAUAAUAACUUCUUGGACCGCAUGGCCUUGUGCUGGCGGUGCUUCAUUCAAAUAUUUGCCCUAUCAACUGUCGAUGGUAGGAUAGAGGCCUACCAUGGUUGCAACGGGUAACGGGGAAUAAGGGUUUGAUUCCGGAGAGGGAGCCUGAGAAACGGCUACCACAUCCAAGGAAGGCAGCAGGCGCGCAAAUUACCCCAUCCCAACACGGGGAGGUAGUGACAAUAUGUAACAAUAUACGGCCUUAUACGUUGUAUAAUUGGAAAGAGGACAAUUUAAAUCCCUUAACGAGGAACAAUU